rnacentral:misc_RNA from 1 species
GAUGAAGAACGUAGCGAAAUGCGAUACGUAUGUGAAUUGCAGAAUUCAGUGAAUCAUCGAGUCUUUGAACGCACAUUGCGCCCUCUGGUAUUCCGGAGGGCAUGCCUGUCCGAGCGUCAUUGCUGCCCUCAAGCACGGCUUGUGUGUUGGGCCCCGCCCCCCGAUCCCGGGGGGCGGGCCCGAAAGGCAGCGGCGGCACCGCGUCCGGUCCUCGAGCGUAUGGGGCUUUGUCACCCGCUCUGUAGGCCCGGCCGGCGCCUGCCGAUCAACCAAACUUUUUUCCAGGUUGACCUCGGAUCAGGUAGGGAUACCCGCUGAACUUAAGCAUAUCAAUAAGCGGAGGA